rnacentral:rRNA from 1 species
UACAGAGGGUGCAAGCGUUGUUCGGAAUUAUUGGGCGUAAAGCGCGUGUAGGCGGCUUUGCAAGUCGGGUGUGAAAGCCCUCGGCUCAACCGAGGAAGUGCGCCCGAAACUGCAGAGCUUGAGUGCCAGAGAGGGUGGCGGAAUUCCCCAAGUAGAGGUGAAAUUCGUAGAUAUGGGGAGGAACACCAGUGGCGAAGGCGGCCACCUGGAUGGUGACUGACGCUGAGACGCGAAAGCGUGGGGAGCAAACAGG